rfam:Lactobacillus composti DSM 18527 = JCM 14202 strain DSM 18527 NODE_21, whole genome shotgun sequence.
GCGCCGCUAGUGUAAUGGAUCGCACGUAAGAUUCCGGUUCUUAAAAUGGCGGUUCGACUCCGCCGUGGCGCA